rnacentral:rRNA from 1 species
CCUACGGGAGGCUGCAGUGGGGAAUAUUGGACAAUGGGGGCAACCCUGAUCCAGCCAUGCCGCGUGUGUGAAGAAGGCCCUCGGGUUGUAAAGCACUUUCAGUGAGGAAGAACGCCUGGUGGUUAAUACCCAUCAGGAAAGACAUCACUCACAGAAGAAGCACCGGCUAACUCCGUGCCAGCAGCCGCGGUAAUACGGAGGGUGCGAGCGUUAAUCGGAAUUACUGGGCGUAAAGCGCGCGUAGGUGGCUUGAUAAGCCGGUUGUGAAAGCCCCGGGCUCAACCUGGGAACGGCAUCCGGAACUGUCAAGCUAGAGUGCAGGAGAAGAAGGUAGAAUUCCCGGUGUAGCGGUGAAAUGCGUAGAGAUCGGGAGGAAUACCAGUGGCGAAGGCGGCCUUCUGGACUGACACUGACACUGAGGUGCGAAAGCGUGGGUAGCAAACAGGAUUAGAUACCCCAGUAGUC